GGUUAGGGUUAGGGUAGGGCUAAGGGUUAGGGGUAGGGUUAGAGGUAGGGUUAGGGGUAGGGUUAGGGUUACCCUACCCUAACUCUACCCCUAACCCUACUCCAACCUCUAAUCCUAAC